rnacentral:rRNA from 1 species
UGGGGAAUAUUGGACAAUGGAGGAAACUCUGAUCCAGCAAUUCUAUGUGUGUGAAGAAGGUUUUAGGACUGUAAAACACUUUUAGUAGGGAAGAAAAAAAUGACGGUACCUACAGAAGAAGCAACGGCUAAAUACGUGCCAGCAGCCGCGGUAAUACGUAUGUUGCGAGCGUUAUCCGGAAUUAUUGGGCUUAAAGGGCAUCUAGGCGGUAAGACAAGUUGAAGGUGAAAACCUGUGGCUCAACCAUAGGCUUGCCUACAAAACUGUUGAACUAGAGUACUGGAAAGGUGGGUGGAACUACACGAGUAGAGGUGAAAUUCGUAGAUAUGUGUAGGAAUGCCGAUGAUGAAGAUAACUCACUGGACAGAAACUGACGCUGAAGUGCGAAAGCUAGGGGAGCAAACAGG